CACUUGGAAACAGGUGCUAAUACCGCAUAACAGUUUAUGCCGCAUGGCAUAAGAGUGAAAGGCGCUUUCGGGUGUCGCUGAUGGAUGGACCCGCGGUGCAUUAACUAGUUGGUGAGGUAACGGCUCACCAAGGCCACGAUGCAUAGCCGACCUGAGAGGGUGAUCGGCCACACUGGGACUGAGACCCGGCCCAGACUCCUACGGGAGGCA
rnacentral:rRNA from 1 species